GUGGAUUAGAUACCCUGGUAGUCCACGCCGUAAACGAUGAUAACUAGCUGUCAGGGCUCUUGGAGUUUUGGUGGCGCAGCUAACGCGUUAAGUUAUCCGCCUGGGGAGUACGGCCGCAAGGUUAAAACUCAAAGAAAUUGACGGGGGCCUGCACAAGCGGUGGAGCAUGUGGUUUAAUUCGAAGCAACGCGCAGAACCUUACCAGCGUUUGACAUGGUAGGACGGUUACCAGAGAUGGUUUCCUUCCCUUACGGGACCUACACACAGGUGCUGCAUGGUUGUCGUAAGCU
rnacentral:rRNA from 1 species